GACACCAGCUCAUUGUCAUCGUGUGUCAGUGGCCGCUGCAGUGCUGUGUUGUGUGUACGUUAGCAUAUCGACAAGAAUCUUCAACCAUGCAGACCUCAACCAUUGUAGUUCUUGCGUGCCUGAUCGCCGUGGUGGUUGCGUAUCAAGAACCUCAACCGCUGGACGCGGCCCAGGAGUCCUACCUCGACACUCCAGAACAUGACAGGAGUCCAAGGAAUAAGAGAGGUCUGCUGCUCUUGAAGAAGAAGUUGCUUCUUGGUGCUCUGGGCCUAAAGGCAGCGAAGGUCGGUGCUGUGGGAGUCGCUGGAGCUCUCGCGCUCAAAGCUAAGGCAGCUAAGCCGAAAGUAGCAGCGGCCAGCUUUUUCCACCAUGGGGAUCUACCGCUGGUAAUUAGGUACCAUUAGUCGCGGCAACUUCCAAUAGCUCAUAAUAAGUCAGAACGUUGAGUAGCAGAGAAGUUUCAUUUGGUGAUUGCCUGUACUGGGAUUUUUCUUACAACGCAUCGAGUUCGUCUACGUUCUAAGAGAAAUCGGUAUGAUGUGUUAAGUAGUGUUAACAGCUAGGAUUUCGUUUUAAUCUAUGAGAGGCUUCUGUGUGAUGGGUAUUUAGAUUAAACGGAUCAUUUUAUAGGUUAUAAUUUAGAGACUUACGUGACGCUUAAUGGCAACAAAUUGUUUGAAUCGCUUCAUAGUUUGUGAAUAUUUUAAACAUAAUCCACGCCAUGUUUUAGUAUAUAUUGAAUCUGAUAGUGGACAUACACGCAAUGGUUUACCUGGCGAGUUGACCUGAACUCCAUUAUGUUUCCUGCUUUGAUUAGGCUGUAUGACUUGCCUCAUGUAUUAGGAUGAAUUAGUCUACAUCUGCAUUUUAAGGCACCGUAGAGGGUUACCUAGAGGCUAUUAACAGUCCACUGUAAAUUGUGAACGCAAGUAUAAAAUGACCAUGUCAACCUGUCAGGUAAAUAAUUUGCUGGAGAUAUUAUAAUUAUGUGAUUGAAGCUCAAAUGCAUCCGAAUAAAGCGCUUUAGGUAACAUUAUAGUAAAAAGGGUUGUUAUAUUUGUGACAAAAGUUGAAUAAAAGUUAAUUGAAACAAACCAUUUUGAACAAUAACAUUAAUUAAACUUUGCCCGUUAAAGAUCACAUUAUGGUGAAAUAUUUACUGCCAUAAUUUAAUGUAUUAUUCGAAUGGUAAUAAAAGCAUUAUGCAAUUGCAUUAGUCACAGGCUUCCAGGUUGCUUGCAAUGAGGUAGACUGAUGUAUACCUAAUUGGUAAACAGAAGCGCACACGCAUAGAUUAUCAGGUUCAAUAUUUGUUAUGUCAUCAACGUCACGUAAACUUACAUUAUAUGUAAAUGGCCUGUUACAUAAACCUAAGAUUUAAUAUAAGUCAAUGUUUGAAGGAAUGCCAUAGUAGGUAGUUUAUAAGCUUUACUUUAACACACAUUCAAAAAAAUGAAUACAUAAUAUAUCUGGUCAAUUUGGUAUAAUGAUUUUUCUGCAAAAAAUAUUGUGAACGUUUUGAGGCUAAAAUGAGUUUAAACAUAUAGUUAACUGUAGAUCCGUUAAUUAUUUGUUUAAACUCAUUAAAAAAAUCCCAUGUUGAAAAAUCACAAAAGGCGCCAUUUAAAAUAUAUAUUUUUAACAAUGCUUCAUUAUAUAUUUGUACAGGUCUUCCAAAUUGCGUCUGAAUCUAAAAUUGUUCACGAGAGCUGUAAAUAUUAUAAAGAAAUAUGUGAAGUUGCCAAUGUGGCGAUGUUUGUUAUAAUAUUUAUAACAUAAAGUGCCGAGGCGAUUGUCAUUUUUUAAACGUUUUAUAACGAAUAAAUGAUAUACUGAAGGAUA
rnacentral:misc_RNA from 1 species